UACGAAGGGGACUAGCGUUGUUCGGAAUUACUGGGCGUAAAGGGCGCGUAGGCGGCCACCGCAAGUCGACUGUGAAAUCUCCGGGCUUAACCCGGAAAGGUCAGCCGAUACUGCGGGGCUAGAGUGCAGAAGGGGCAACUGGAAUUCUCGGUGUAGCGGUGAAUGCGUAGAUAUCGAGAGGAACACCUGCGGCGAAGGCGGGUUGCUGGGCUGACACUGACGCUGAUGCGCGAAAGCUAGGGGAGCGAACGGG
rnacentral:rRNA from 1 species